GCUAACACAGGCUAACUAAGCUAUUCAAACGGUUUCAUAAUUUAAAUGCCAGUGCCGCUACGUCUAUCAGGCAUUAUGUGCGUGUGAAUGAAUGUGUUGAAGUAUUUCCUCUUUUCUGUCCUUACCAGGAAUUAAGUCUUUUGAGCUUUGUGUUCUUGAGCUCUUCAGAAGAGGAAUGCAGGUUAUCCUGGCUCAAGUAUGAUCUGUCUAUCCAAGAUGGCUGCUUACGGCACAGGGUUUCCUCCGCUGUAUACAAUGGACUUCUGGGACAAAGACCAUCAUUUGCGGCGAUUUGCGGUGUGUGCACCAGUGGUGAGGACGGUUUCGUGGAAGGCAACCUCACCUGCGUAGUCCACUGGUGUUAUGUUCCUCGCCACAAUGACUCCAUAUCACAACCACAUCCUCAGCAGCAAGAGGCUGAACAGUGCACCAAUGUAGUGGAGUGUACUUGGAUGACAGGAGGGGGCGCUGUUACAUAGGUCUGAGUCACAGCAGUGGAUGCGCACCCCUGGCAACUCUUGCUGCUGGCAGUGUCUGGAUGUGGCACAACCGCUGGUCAGGACGAUACCCAGGGCCGCUGGAGGGAUAGAAGGGGCAGGCUGUCAGUCAGAGAAGAGCAAUGAGCUGGUGUUUGGCUCAGCAAGAAAAAAGCAACAGUAAGCACCGACUACUUCAAGUGUGUAAUGAGGAAGACAUUUAGAGAUCUUAAAGGCACACUCUGCAGGAUAUGUCUUCACAGCUGAGAGAGCAAACCUCUGACAAAUAGUAGCCUACAUUUUGUACUCUUUAAUGCAAAAAAUAAAUACGUGCAUUGCCACAAAAUUCU